UACGUAGGUGGCGAGCGUUGUCCGGAUUUACUGGGCGUAAAGAGCGCGCAGGCGGCUGGUCAAGUCCGAUGUGAAAGCUCCCGGCUUAACUGGGAAAUUGCAUCGGAAACUGAUCGGCUGGAAGGUGGGAGAGGGUAGCGGAAUUCCCGGUGUAGUGGUGAAAUGCGUAGAGAUCGGGAGGAACACCUGUGGCGAAGGCGGCCGACUGGGCCGACCCUGACGCUGAGGCGCGAAGGCGUGGGGAGCGAACGGG
rnacentral:rRNA from 1 species